CAGUCGAGCGGCAGCGGGAAGUAGCUUGCUACUUUGCCGGCGAGCGGCGGACGGGUGAGUAAUGUCUGGGAAACUGCCUGAUGGAGGGGGAUAACUACUGGAAACGGUAGCUAAUACCGCAUGACCUCGAAAGAGCAAAGUGGGGGAUCUUCGGACCUCACGCCAUCGGAUGUGCCCAGAUGGGAUUAGCUAGUAGGUGAGGUAAUGGCUCACCUAGGCGACGAUCCCUAGCUGGUCUGAGAGGAUGACCAGCCACACUGGAACUGAGACACGGUCCAGACUCCUACGGGAGGCAGCAGUGGGGAAUAUUGCACAAUGGGCGCAAGCCUGAUGCAGCCAUGCCGCGUGUGUGAAGAAGGCCUUAGGGUUGUAAAGCACUUUCAGCGAGGAGGAAGGCAUCACACUUAAUACGUGUGGUGAUUGACGUUACUCGCAGAAGAAGCACCGGCUAACUCCGUGCC
rnacentral:rRNA from 1 species